CAUAAAUACACACGGAAACAAAAAUCAAGAUUUACCUGAUUUUGAAGUUUUGCAACUAAUAUAACUAUGACUUAGUUCAGAUAUUUAUAAACACAGACAGAUACCAGUAUUACCAUAUUCAAGUUUCUUUAUCCUUCUAAGUGUAACGACAAUGGGUCAGACAAUGGAUAAAAGUACUGAUGGAGUUUCAGUAAUGGUUUGCCACUUUGAUACAAACCAAGACUAUAGUAAUUCAUUCGAAUACACUGCUGUAGAAACUACAGACACAUACCGUCGUGGACGACCAUAUAAAUUGUUUGGAACACCAGGCGUGAGUUCAGCUAUUCUCACUCUAAAGAUACCAAGUAACUGUCGGGUCCUUAAAUUGGACAUGACUUUGAAUCAUUGUAAAACAAGCGGCAAUGGAAUAAUUGAUAUUAUGAUUAAUGGCAGAAUCUUCCGUGAAGGCUAUAGCGAGGCAGAACGGGAUAACUUUGGUGAGCAGACGUUUGACAUUCCAGUGCACCUUUUGAAAGAUGAAAAUAAUACAAUUACUAUUGUACUGAACGAGGAGAGUAAAGGAGUGUACUGGCUGUCAGAUAUCAAAUUUGAGCUGAAACAUACACAGACAUAAUUAAACUAUUAAGAUUUCAACUUCCAGUCUGAUAUCAGGUUGAAACUUUUGUAUUCAGUGAUAGUUUGUAGCCAAUGCUUUAUUAUCAGUCACAUGGACGUAUAGGCUUAAUAAAUUCAUAACAAAAUUUA